rnacentral:rRNA from 1 species
UACGUGGAAGACUAGUGUUAUUCAUCUUUAUUAGGUUUAAAGGGUACCUAGACGGUUAAUUUAGCUUAUAUUAAAAAGUACGUAUUAACUAGAGUUUUAUAGGAGGGGAUAGAACUUAUGAUGUAGAGAUAAAAUUUGAUAAUAUCAUAGGGACAGGUAACGGCGAAAGCAUUCUUCUAUCUAAAAACUGACGUUGAGGGACGAAGGCCUGGGUAGCCAUAAGG